rnacentral:rRNA from 1 species
AUUGAACGCUGGCGGCAUGCCUUACACAUGCAAGUCGAACGGUAACGGGCCUUCGGGUGCCGACGAGUGGCGAACGGGUGAGUAAUACAUCGGAACGUGCCCGAUCGUGGGGGAUAACGAGGCGAAAGCUUUGCUAAUACCGCAUACGAUCUACGGAUGAAAGCAGGGGACCGCAAGGCCUUGCGCGGACGGAGCGGCCGAUGGCAGAUUAGGUAGUUGGGGGGAUAAAAGCUUACCAAGCCGACGAUCUGUAGCUGGUCUGAGAGGAUGAUCAGCCACACUGGGACUGAGACACGGCCCAGACUCCUACGGGAGGCAGCAGUGGGGAAUUUUGGACAAUGGGCGCAAGCCUGAUCCAGUCAUGCCGCGUGCAGGAUGAAGGCCUUCGGGUUGUAAACUGCUUUUGUACGGAACGAAAAGCCUUCUUUUAAUACAGGAGGGUCAUGACGGUACCGUAAGAAUAAGCACCGGCUAACUACGUG